UGCCUCACCCUCUCCCUCUUCUCUUUUCCAUGCCCAAAGGUUUGGCAUCCCACCUUUUUACAUGCCAAGAGUUGAGGAGUUGUUCGUUUACAGCGAGGAACGAAAAGAAAGGACUACAGAUCAAAGAAUUGAUUCUGCAGUCUUGAUCAAAGAGUUGAUUAAGAUUCUAAAGGACUGAGAUCCUACUUGGAGAAGAAGGAUCUACUAUGAG
rnacentral:lncRNA from 1 species